GGGUGAUUAGCUCAGUGGUAGAGCAUCUCGUUUACACCGAGGGGGUCAGCAGUUCAAACCUGUUAUCACCCACCA
rnacentral:tRNA from 1 species